rnacentral:rRNA from 1 species
UACGGAAGGUGCGAGCGUUAAUCGGAAUUACUGGGCGUAAAGCGCACGUAGGUGGUUUUAUAAGUCGGGGGUGAAAGCCUGUGGCUCAACCACAGAAUUGCCUUCGAUACUGUAGAGCUUGAGACCGGAAGAGGUAAGUGGAACUGCGAGUGUAGAGGUGAAAUUCGUAGAUAUUCGCAAGAACACCAGUGGCGAAGGCGGCUUACUGGUCCGGUUCUGACGCUGAGGCGCGAAAGCGUGGGGAGCAAACAGG